UUUUCUUGUGUCCUUGUAUACAAUGAUAAUAAAGAUUCUAUCUUUCUAUCUAUGCCUUUAGAAAGGAUUAAAUAGUUUGUAUUUGAUUUCAUGUCUUUGCAAAACUUUCGACAGAUGGUGACCCUUUUUUGUUUUUGGGGCUGGAAGUCUUUGUUAAGCUCAGCAUUGUUCUAACUUUCAGAUCUGACCGGUCGUGGCCUCAGUCCGGGGUCCGAGUUGAUGGUUCAACGCUGCAGUUUCUGAGCAUCACCUCCGAGCUGAACGGCCUCUACCAGUGCGAGGCGUCGAACUCGUAUGGGAGUAAACAUGCUUACCUCCGUGUGCAUUUCACCUCAGGAUCCUGCACUGCCAGUUGGACCCUCUUUGUUCUUCUGCUCGUCCUCGUUGUUGCUGCUGUCUUGUGUUGCUUCUAUAAACGUAUGGAAAUUGCAAGAUUCAUACUACGGGAAGAAGGCGGCACACGAGGCAAGAGGCAAAAGGUUCCAACGACUUCAUUCCUGACGCAGCCGUUAGUGAAAAUAGGCAGUAUUCCUGGUGCUUUACAUUUUGAUGUCAUUGACAUUGGUUUUAAAAAUAGCCAAUUUCUCAAUUCAGAUAUUUAAAGUUAUUGUUGCCAAAUAUUACAACUGAACAGCUAGUAGUAUUAUCAAAAAAAGAAUGUCAAAAAUGAACCUGAAGGUUAAGAGCUUUUCUGAA